AAUGACACAAUGUUUACACAUUCAAAUGCUUUUUUAAAAUUUAUUAUUGCUGAAUAAGCCAUAUUGAGUUUGGCAACAAGUGAUGAUGCAUCACAACGAGAAUAACAAGACACAUUGCACUCACAGCGAAUAUAAGAAAAGGAGUCUUCAAAAAAAAAAAAAAAAAAAGAAGAGAAAAAGACCCCAAAACUCAAAUUUGUUCCAAUGCAAUCAAGACAUUGCAACAGAUUUUUCAACUUAAAGCUUUGAUCGUGAAAAUACCAGGCGACUUGUUGACCUUAAAACAGAUCAGAACUUCAUGUCCACACAAAGGACACAAUCAUCAUAGCAUGACAAAUGACAAGUAUGCCAUCUCUAAACAACAGUGAUAGCGUCAUCAGAAAGUAG